CCGUACGAACACUUCAAUAGAGAAGGUAGCUGUUAACAGCCUGAAUAUGUCACCAUAACUCUCGGUUUUAUUCACUGGGAGCUGAAGAAUUGAACAGGUAGGUGGAGGACUAGGUAGACUGGUGUCGCGAGUAUAAUAGAUGCUGAAGUUCUUGCAUCCUUUAUAGUUAAAUUCAAGAUGCUGAGGAAAAUUGACACUGGGGUCAGUACAUUUGAAUAAAGUUAUGUUGGAGAUUGUUUUAUAAGACCAGCUGUAUGGGACACUGGCUGGAAGACUCAAAUUGUUGAAGGAAUCGCAUGAAUUGGAAUUCAAAUGCCUCCGUAAAUCUUUAUCAGUGAUUGAAAUGGUAUUAGCCUGAGAGAUGUUGUGAAGUUCAAACCAUUUUCCUCUCCUUUCUAGUUGGAUACUUUGAGAAUCUUCGUCACAGCCAUCCACCACACAGGGACCGCAUAUCUCAGGACUUGUGUUGUUGGUGAAUGGGAACUUGAUUUCUCCGAGCUUUCCACAAUUGAAAGUCGGACACUUGUUGUUGAAGUCCCAGUCAUCUUCUUUGGAAGCGCAAAUAAGCAAAGGGUGAAAGAGGGCAAAGAAAACUAGCAAAGGGACGGGAGCCAUCCCCGAGCUCCCAAUUUUAAGAAACAAAAUGGAGACACCAACAGGAUCAACUUCUCUUACUAGAACUAUGUCUUGGUGUCUCUUCAAAGUACAUAUAAUUCUUUAUCUGGCAACACACGUUAGUUGACAUGGAAACUUGAGUAGGAAGACUUGUAAUUAAGAUGACAGCAGGUGGGGUAGCCCUGCGAAAUUUACAUGUUAGAAAUCGUCUGUUUGGUCGGUGAUUGCACCAGCCCAGUAAGUUGACCUAUUGACUUUUCAAAGUCUUCUUCCCAAAUACCACGCAAUAUUAACAUAGACUUCUUUGCAGCUUGUUAUAAACGCCUGAACGUGCUAUAACAAAAAAGCGAAGUAUAGGGUUUCGCUAAAUUAGAUAAGAACCAUGUGGUAACAAUGCAAUAAGGCAUCUUUCUCAAAGAAUGGACUCCAUUACACGGUCCCUGAGCUUACUAGAUGCCAAGGAUGGAGUUCUAGGGAAGAUCAGAAAUUGGUGAGAGAAAAAUGACAGAUUAAGCGUCCAAGGAAAGUUCAGACGUGGAGGAGGGAUCAUAGAGGCAGAGGUUAAUUCAUGGGUCAAUAGUCAUCGCUAAAGUUUAUAUAUAUAUAUAUAUAUUAGUGGCCAUGAGUCCAAAGGUGAUAUCUCAAUUACUUCCAUUCCAUGGGCAAUCUCUGUGGAGGGACCCAAAGAAAAACCUUUCUACAAGGGAAUCAAUUUGUUGCAUAGUAAUAACUAGAUAGGGGUAGCGCUAUACCGUGGUCUCACCCAAUUUCUUUUAACGUGAAAAAAGUGCCAAGGCAACGCAAAUGUUUCUAAAAAGCAAAAAAAGCCUUAAGAGUCGCUUUAUUGACGUGUUUGAAUUUAAUAAAUUUAAAUAAUAUAAAUAAAAAAAUACAACAAUAAUAAAUACAUUGACAAAAAAAAUUGGCAACCUAAAAAAUUUAUAAAACUUGGAAAGCAAACUAAUAAAACUAUAAAUCUCAAUUAUUAAAUAACUCAAUGCUGAAGAGUGAAAAAUAAAUAAAUUAACUUGGGUUAACUCUUUAACCUUGCAAUCCUGAGCACAUGAUUGAGAUAACCCUAUAAAAAUAAAAGUUAGAAAAAAAAUAACAAGGACCAAUUCCUAAUGAAUCAAAUGUUCGAGGAAUAAAUUGAAAAAAAAAAAAAAGGACUUAAUAAAAAAAACCAAAGUCCACACAUAUUAAUCUUUGAAACUCCUGAUCCUUGUCAUGAGUUUGACACCAAGCAAAUAGAAGGUAAAAUCUAAAAAAUAACAUGGAAAAAUUAUAAAUCAACAAAAUAUUACAAUAUGAGAUUGAAAAUAAAAUUCAAUUAGGAAUAGAAAAAUAAAUAAAUGAUGAGAACCAAAUUUGAUACUGAAAUUAAAUAAAAUCAAAUAAUGAAAGAUGAAAUUGAAGAAAAAACAUCAAUCAAAACAAGAUAAAAAAAAAAAUAGUAAUUAAAAAAAUGAAAAUUGAAAUGGAUACCAAAAAAAUAAAAAAACACCUUUAUAAUUUAGCGAGAAGAACAGAGACAAAAAAAAAAAACAGAAAAAUAUAUAUUCAAGUCAAAUCAUUGUUUUAUUGUGUAUAUUCGCAACACCAAUAGAAAGAUCAUGGAGAUACACUUUCAUCAUCUCUUUAAAAAGUAGUGUUUGGACAUGGAAUAACAUUGCAUGCAUCUACUCGUUGGCACACCACCAAUCUUUUUUUUUCAAUAAUAUUUAUGUUUGUAUCAAGAUCAAAUAGCUUCCUAAUUAAUUUUUUAAUAGCUAAAACAUAGUUUGAAAUUAUAAAAAAGCUCAUGGAUCCUCAAUCGAUUUGACCAAUGACUUAUAUGUAAAAGAUUAUAUUGCCCAAAUAGCAAGUGCAUUGUGUAUUUUUUAUUAUUAUUGAAGAGCAAAAUAAUAAUUAUACUAUUAUAUUAUAAUGAAUCUAUGUUACUCCAUAAUAUUAAGCACUCCUUCACGCUCGGCUCUUGAUGCGAAGAAGCGAAGGGUGAAAGAGGGCAAAGAAAACCAGCAAAGGGACGGGAGCCAUCCCCGAGCUCCCAAUUUCAAGAAACAAAAAUAGGAAUGGAAACACCGACAAGAGGAUCAAGUUCUCUGACUGAAAUAAGGUCUCAAAGUCUCUUAAUUAUUGUGAUCUGCAAUAUAUCUUGUUGUGUGCUUACUAAGCACGUCAAUUUACUUGGAAAUUUGAUAUGGAAGACUUGUGAAAUGGAUUGAAAGAAGUGAGAGGAAGUUCAUGUGAGAUUUCCAGCUGCCCUGCCUGUUCUAUUGAUCAUCACUUAGAAACAAUCGACUCCUUAAUUCUUUAAAAACAAAAAAGUACAAGAGAUAAAAUGAAAGUUAGAUCAAUCAGGCCCGUGUAUGCAGACCUAUUGGGUGCCCAACCCGGCUUUCUUCUUCUUUCAAUAUUUAUGAUUUUUUGAAUCUCGAUUUUUUUCAAGUAAUUAUUUUUUUUCACAUCCAGUCUAAGCAUUUUUUGUUGUUGUUCAUUCUUGCCUUCUUCCAAUUACUGUUUCUCUUAAUUAUAUUUUAUAAGUGAUAUGCAUGAUUGGUUGCAUGUUUGCUCUUUUCAUUCAUCAAAAUAAAAAAAUAUUUAUAAUAUGUAUUUAAUUUUUUUAAAACAUGAUAUCAAAUACUUCAAAAUAAAUAUUCAAUUAAAAAACUUCCACAAUUUUUUGCCUAGUGAUAACUAGACUGGGGUUGCGCUAUACCACCGAAUAGCUCAAUUGUUUUUUAAUGUUAAAAAAAUGUUAAGAUAAUGUAAGUGUUUUUUAAAAAAUAUAAAAUUAUUUACACUAGAGUAAUUGACUCGUUUGGAAAAGAUUGAUAUAAAUACUAUAAUCCUACUUAAAAUAAAAAAAAUUAAGUUUAUAAUCCAUUAAAUAAAAUAUCCAAUAAUAAUUAAAUUAAGUCUAAUUAAUGAAGUUCAACUAAAAAUUAAAAUAAAUUAAAUCAAAACAUAAGCUAAAACUUAAUUUUUUAAUAGUUUAGGCUACUUUUCGUCUAUGAUCAUACAAAUAUAUAAAUAAUAUCUCAGGUUUGAUGUUCCUACUAUUUUCUUGUUUUGUUUCAUGAAAAAAAAAACACCAUUUUGAUAUCUAAAAUUAUUUAUCGGUUUACAAUUUAAGAAAACAAAAGAUUUAUCAUUGAAUAUUAUAAUAGUAGGCAUCAAUCAUUCAGUACCAUGAGUUUGUAUUAAGUUUCAAAAUAUCACAAUCCCUCCAUGACCGGUUAACAAAAAAAACUAGAUCUUCUAGUGAAGUUAUUAUAUGUAUCUAGACAUAGAUUGUUAAUCAUUGAAACACUAUAAUGAUGUAUUUGCCUUUACACUAUAAAAACUUUAAACUAGUAAUCGGGGGAGAUUUCAGAAUUAAUUUCUCAUUAUCAAAUUAAUGAGGAAUAGAUCUGUCUUUUAUAUUUUUUUUAAAAGUUCGAAAGACUAAAAAGCCAAUAAAAAUGAAAAAUAUUAAAUUAUCUUUCAGGGGUUUAUUUAUAUUUUUAUUUUUUAAGCGCAAUAAAAUAACUGAUAUACCUUUCUGUAUAUAUAUAUAAAACAUUAACUAACACCUAGUUGUUUUUUUGUAUUUUCAUUGUUGUAACCCAUUUUUGGGUCCCUUUGAAAAAUAAAAUAAAUAGCCAAAAGAGGUUAGAAAAAUAACCGGAGGCAGAAGCGCCCGGAAAACAGUAAGAAAAUUGGUCAAGGAAUUUAAAAAUACAAGGAUUGAAUUUUUGACAGUAUAUUCUUGAAGGAUGAAAGCCCGCUAUUGAGAAGAAAAAAUUGAAUUUUAGGGAGAAAAGCCCAAAUUUGGAUUUUUAUGGGCUUAAUUGGAUUUUUAUGGGCUUAAUUGGAUUUUUAUGGACUUAAUUGGAUUUUUAUUUGAAUUUAUAGAAGAUUUGAUUCCAAGAAAAUUGAUUUUUAAGUCAAUUUGGGCUUUAAUUUGGAGAAAUUUAAGUUCUGGGGCCAAAAUAUAUUUUUUAGGAAUUUAUUGGGUCAAAUCAGGGGCUCAAUUGCAUAAAAUUGAAGUUUAAGGGCCAAUUAAGGACUUAAUUGAGAAAAUCCGAAACCAGGGACCAAAUUGGAAGAGGCGCGUAAAUGGAGGGGCUGCUAAUUUUUCGGUUCAGGGGCCUAAUUGAAGAAAUUGAAAGUUUAUUAAUCAAUUGAGGGCUAAAUUGCAUAAAUCAGAUGCCAAGGACCAAAAUGAAAAAGGCGGCCAACAAGAAGGGCGGGGACCGAAUUUGGAGGACUGAUUUGAAGUUUGGCCAUUAAAUGAAACGGCGCGUUUUAUUCAAAACGACGCCGUUUCAUAUACAAAAAAAAAAAAAAAAAAAAAAAAGGAAAGCAGAACGGUGUCGUUUUGAACGACACUGUUCAUCAUCUCCUUCCCCCCCCGUUUGUAGCAGAACAGAAGGUAAAAAAUUUUGAAAAAAAUCUCCCGCGUCUCUCUCUCUCCUCGCCCCCACCACCACCACCGAAAGAACCGACCAGCCAUGCGUGAUUGAAGGCGCACUAACCACGGUCCCCUACCCGUGCUCCCCUAUAAAUAAAGAAGAAAAACCGAAAGGAGAAGAGGAAAAACCGAAAGACCCGAAGAGAGAAAGAGAGAGAGAGUGACCCGAAGAGAGAGAGAAGAACAGAACCAAACCAAGAAGAAGGAAACCGAAACAAAACCAAAACCGAACCGAGAAUAGGCAGCCACUGAGAACGAAAAAAAAAACGAAGGAGAAGGGAGGAAGAAGAAUUUUUCGCCACUGAAACAGCAGCAACGCCGCCCGAAACCGCCAUCCACGAGCCGCGCCACCGUAGCCCCGCCAGCCAACCACCGUCUCCAGCCUCGCCAGGUAUUCCCUCCCCUGCAUUUUUUUUUUCUCUCGUCUUCUGCUAAUUCUCAUCUCCUGCAUGCAGAUUUGUGCUGCAUGCAGGAGACGGGGGAAAAUUAAUUCCCCCCGUUAUAUUUUAUAUAUGGGCCAGAAGGGUUCUGGCCCAACCCAGCGGUCUGGGCCGGGUCCGGCCCAGACCAAGUUGUGUUUUUGGGCCGACUUCGGCCCAGUACCUUUCCUGGGCCGAGGUCGGCCCAGUUACCUUUCCUGGGCCGAGGUCGGCCCAGUCACUGUGGGGCUGAGCCCGGCCCAAUCAGUUGGGCCGGCCCAGCCCCUUAAUAAAUAUAUAAUUAUAUUAUAUAUAUUAUAUUAUAUAUAUAUGUUAUAUAUAUAUAAAAUAUUUGUAAAAAAUCUAAAAAAUCUAAAAAAAAUAUUGUUAUUUUCUUUCAUGUAUAUAUAUUUUUAAGGGGGUUUGUUUUUUUUUAUAUACUGUGAGGUAUAAAUUCAGUAUUUAAAAUAUCUGAUUUUCGUCGUAGCACCCGAAAUUUUCCAAAGAUAAUUUUUUUUUUUGCUUUCAAAAAUUUCUAAAAUUCCUAAAAAAUAUUGUGGAUUUUUCCGCAUAUUUUUUUUUUAUGACUUAAUAUUAGUUUGUAUUUUUUUUUGUGGAGAUACAAAUUCAGUAUUAAAAAUACCUGAUUUCGUCAAAAAAAAAUAUUGUUUAAAAAAAAAAUAUUUUUCUUGCGUGUUGCAUACGGCCAAUACUCUAACAUGUUUUGAAUAUUCUUUUUAUAAAACAAAUAUAUUGGAAGCUUCGAAAGUGUGUUUUCGCAUAGAUUUCUUAAACACAAAUUAUUUUCUUGCAUUUUGGAUUUUACAACGUGUUUGUAAAAUUCCAAAGGGUAUUGGCCAAUAUUCAAAAAACUAUAAAAAUCUUAUUUUGGGAAAAGGAAUUUAUUUAUUAUUUACCGCUAAUGUUUGGAUAAAGAAAUCCUUAAAAGGAUGAAUAUCCAAAAUAUUAUCGGGAAUAAUAAAUCCGCACACAAUUCUUGAAAGAAGCCUUGAUUAUAAUCGAGGACAUUUCAAAAUUAAUUUAAUUUUUUUUCUCCACGAUUUAUGAGUCACAAACUUUUGAAAUACUAAGGGAAAAAUGAGCUUUCAAAGCACAUGGAAUCUCCUUAGAUUUCUAUCCAAAAUCAAUUGACGAGCCUAGAAAAUACCUACACCAUAGCAGUUAUAGAGCAAACCAAACACCAAGCAGCUUACCUUAGGUAGGGCGUACUAGGGGUGCUAAUACCUUCCCUUUACGCAACCAGUCCCUUGCCUUAGAAUCUCUGAAAGACCAGUUAGGGUUCCUAGUGACCAAAAUACUAGGUGGCGACUCCCAAAGAACCAAAUCAACAAAACAGAACAAAACGAAAGUUGCCAGUCGAAUGUCGCAAAACAAAUUUUAAAAUAAACAAAACUUUUUUUUUUAUAUAUUUUUUUUUUUUUGGGGGUGCGACAUUCAUCAUGAUUUUUUUUGUUAUAAUCAUGUUGGCUUAGGGAUAAUUUAGUCAUUUAAACUAUAUAAGUAUUAAUUAAAAAAAAAUGGUUAAGAUGGCAUUCCACGCGUCAGUGUGUGGGUUAUUUUCGUGUUAUUUGGGUAGUGCGUGCAAUGGUGUUUGGUUGCAAAACAAUUGCUUUUGGGUGGUUUUCGAAAUGUCCUGGUGCCCCCUCCAUUCUUGGUCGCCUUGUGUAGCCAACGAGUUUCUAGUUUGGCACCAAUAACCUUUUUUUUUCUUCUUUUUUCUUUCCCACUUAAUUUUCAUUCCUAACCCUUUAAAGUUCCAAAACAGUCUUCAAAUUGUUUUUCAUUUAGAUUUGGUUUAUUUUUUAUCCCUAUUGAUUUAAUUUGAAAUAAUAUAUAGAAUUGCAAUUUUUUUUCUAUUGCAUCCUCCUCUAAGUUUUUAUGAAUUCAGCCUGCAAUUGUUUCCUAUAAGAUAAAAUCCCUUAUUUUGUUUAUUGAUUUUUUUACUGAUAUUUUUUUUAUUUUAUUCUUCAAUAUUAAAUUUGUUAAAAAUUGAUCUUCUUGAUCGAGCCAAGGUCUAAGAUUUUAUAGGUUACAAGUUUAGAAAAUUAGCCAAGGUAUAAGAGAUUCACCCGAGUUUGCUUCUUUUUUUUUUUUUGACCUUUUUUUAAGCUUAUGCUUUUUUAGUUUAUCAUUUGAUAUUUAUUUAAUUGGAGAUUGGGCUCCAUUUAUUUUUUAUUUGCUUUCUAUAUGAAUUUUUACUUGUUUUGAAAAUGACUCGGGUUAUCUCGAGUCUUUUUAUUUGUUGUUUUUUUUUGGUUAAAUUUAGCUUUUUUUAUAGAAAAACAUUUUUAUUAAAUUAAAUUAAUUGAUUAGAUAUAAUUAAGCAUGAUAUGAUCACUUUAUAAUAUUUUAUUUGGUUUGUCCAGGUCGUUGCUUUUACAGCGCGUGCAACUUCUUUUGAUGUCGUCAUCUAGCCUUCUAUAGCGACAUUAGAAUCGUCUUGGUGAACUCUUUUUGAUGGUAAAAUGAUGACCACGAGAGAGAGAGACAAUGAGUCUCUAAUAAUAGGCUUUUCUUUCGUAUACUCAUGAGUAUUAUAUUGGUAGCUCAUUUUUAUACCUAAUUAUUGCCAAAUUUUUUUGCUUUAUUUAUUGUUGAUUUUUUUUAAAUCAUAUUAUUAAAUUAACCGAACUCGGUGAACCUAGUCAGAUCAAUGAUAAUAGUCUCAAAUGUUUCUGAAUAUCUUUUUUUUUGUUAAUUUUUAUUUUAUUUUAUAUAUUGUUGUUGCAUUUAGAUAAUACACGAGAAUUGUAUAUCUUUUAGAAACCCUUAUAUUGUCUUAAUAUAUGUAUUUAUAUUGAAAAAAAAUUAGGUUGACCCGUUAGCAUAGUGUGAGUCAUCUAUCCAGUACAUAAUACAUGGAAUUUCUUAAUUUUGUCCUUGAUUGAAGCAGCAAGCUGCAGGAUUGUUCGUAUCUCAAAAUUCCCAAUAAAAGAAGGGCGACACAGCAAUUCGCAGUUCUAGUUUUAGGAGAAUGAUGGAAAAGAAACAGAGCAUAAAUAGUUCAAAGCAUUUGGAGUUCUGGAGGAGCCAUGGGAUGCACAAAUUGUAUUGAGGAUAUUUUCGAGGUGUAAAUUAAAGAAAAGGUAUGCAGUUUUCUGGUCAUCAAUCUCUCUAUUGCAGUUUGGACAAGGAUUAGAUGUUACAUGUUGAAGCCCGUAUAUACUAAUAAAUGAACACAGUUGAAAUAUUAAUUACUGACAUUAGGUGUAGUAGAACCGCUAAACCACUGAUCAGUUGUGGAAUUCGAUGACAGCGGUGACCGGAUAUUCUUUAGCAAUGCAACCACAUCACAAUCCGGAUAUUUGUUGUCAAGAAGGAUAUUGUUCGUUUUUACAUCCCGGUGAAAGAUAUCAGUAGCAUGCAGAUAAGCCAAUGCGGUAGCCGUUUCUAUGGCAAUCCUCAUUCGAAUAGUCCAAGUUAGUGAACCAGAUUUGGCUCGAUCAUGAUGGAGAUGAUCUGCAACUGUGCCAUUGGGAAUGUAUUCAUAGACAAGGAGGAGCUCGCGGCUGUAGCAAGAAGUACACCCAUAAAGAGUCACAAGAUUUUUGUGGCGCAGGCGAGUAAGGAUUUGAAUUUCAUUCAUGAACUGCUUUAUCCUCUUACGAUUGUGUUCAUAUAGGCGCUUGACUGCAACUUCUCGCCCAUCUCGGAGUUUGCCUGUCGAGAUUGAUAAAUAAAAAUAGAAAAGCCCAUAAAUAAAGUCGCUAGCUUUCUUUCUUCCUUCCUUUGUUUUUCAGUUAAGAAAACCUACCGUAAAUUGUUUUUCAGUUAAGAAAACCUACCGUAAUAUACAGUUCCAAAACCUCCGUCACCAAGUUCGUGUUUGGAAUCGAAGUUGUUUGUGGCUUCUUCAAGAUCAGAAUAGGAGAAGAUGGGGACCCCAAAGUAGUUAGUGUCCCCUUCCGGGUCUGAUUUUGAUGAGGGAUCUGAAGAAGCAUUUGCUGAAUUGACGUUAGAGGAAAUGUGUGUUCUCUUGUGUCGAUGCCACCGGAUGAAAAAUAUGGACACCAAAAUUAAUUAUACCAUGAAAGGGACUCCGAGACCUGCAGUUGAAAAGAAGAGUACUGUACUUUUAACUUGAAUAUAUCCUUUGAGGAAAUUAUUUUACUGGCAGGAGGUUUUCCAUUGAACGUUGUUGCCGAAACAUAUGCAGAAGAGAAAUUGAAAUGUUGAGGAGGUAAAUUACCUAGUCCGAGCUUCAAUCUCAAUUUUUUUCUCUCUGCAACACAAAUAAAAAAGGAAAUAUGGCAUUAGUGCAAAACUUAAAAGUUAAAACAACGAAUUUAUGCAUGCUUUGCCAAAUCGAAUUCUCCAAUAUUUAACAUGCACAAAAAUCAGCGAAAUAAAAAUAAAAAAUCAGAGCAAGGAGGACCUGCUUAUGAGUAAUAGAUGGGAUUUUGUGCCAAGCUAAAUUCUAUUCUCACGACCCAUAAUUGUAAACCAUACCCAGUAAGCUAAAAUCAAUUGCAUAGAAGACAGGAAUUGAGUGGAAUACCAGAUAUAAAGAAUAGUAGGUCUAGUAAAAUGUCCUAAGGUCCUCAGGACUAUACUGGGUCGUAGUAUACAAAUACAAAUAAACUUACAUGUAUUUAUCUCUCCCUAUUUUUGCUGUGUCCAUGCAUAUCAUACCUUCACUUGAAUGGAUGCAUUUGAAGUUUCCUUUGUUGCGUUUACAUUCCCCUCUUUGCAAAUAACAUUGAUAACAGUGACGCGAUACGAACAAUUCAAUUGAGAAGGUAGCUGUUAACAGCCUGAAUAUGUCACCAUGACUCUCGGUAUUUUUCACUGGGAGCUGAAGAAUUGAACAGGUAGGUGGGGGACGAGGUAGACUGGUGUUGCGAGUAUAAUAGAUGCUGAAGUUCUUGCAUCUUGUAAAGUUAAAUUCAAGAUGCUGAGGAAAAUUGACACUGGGGUCAGUACAUUUGAAUAAAGUUAGGUUGGAGAAUUCUAUAAUAGACAAGUAUGGGACACUGGCUGGAAGACUCAAAUUGUUGAAGGAAUCGCAUGAAUUGGAAUUCAAAUGCCUCCGUAAAUCUUUAUCAGUGAUUGAAAUGAUAUUAGCCUGAGAGAUGUCUUGAAGUUCAAACCAUUUUCCUCCCCUUUCUAGUUGGAUCCUUUGAGAAUCUUCGUCACAGCCAUCCACCACACAGGGACCGCAUAUCUCAGGACUUGUGUUGUUGGUGAAUGGGAACGUGAUUUCUCCGAGCUUUCCACAAUUGAAAGGCGGACACUUCUUGAAGGGCAAGCCAUCUUCUUUGGAAGCGCAAAUAAGCAAAGGGUGAAAGAGGGCAAAGAAAACUAGCAAAGGGACGGGAGCCAUCCCCGAGCUCCCAAUUUUAAGAAACAAAAUGGAGACACCAACAGGAUCAACUUCUCUUACUAGAACUCUGUCUUGGUGUCUCUUCAAAGUACAUAUAAUUCUUUAUCUGGCAACACACGUCAGUUGACUUGGAAACUUGAGUAGGAAGACUUGUAAUUAAGAUGACAGCAGGUGGGGUAGCCCUGCGAAAUUUACAUGUUAGAAAUCGUCUGUUUGGUCGGUGAUAGCACCAGCCCAGUAAAUUUGCACCUGGUAUUUGAAAGACUCCUUCCCACUGGCUAGCAAAUCAAAGAGAAGUUGACCUAUUGACUUUUCAAAGUCUUCUUCCCAAAUACCACGCAAUAUUAACAGAGACUUCUUUGCAGCUUGUUAUAAACGCUGCAUGUGCAAAAACAAGAAAACGAAGUAUAGGGUUUCGCUAAAUUAGACAAGAACCCUGUGGUAACAAUGCAACAAGGCAUCCUUCUGAAAGAAUGGACUCCAUUACACGGUUACGGAGCUUACUAGAUGCCAAGGAUGGAGUUCUAGGGAAGAUCAGAAAUUGGUGAGAGAAAAAUGACACAUUAAGCGUCCAAGGAAAGUUCAGACGUGGAGGAGGGAUCAUAGAGGCAGAGGUGUAAUUCAUGGGUCAAUAAUCAUCGCUAAAGUUAUAUAUAUAUAUAUAUAUUAAUGGCCAUGAGUCCAAAAAGGUGAUGUUUCAAUUACUUCCAUUCCAUGGGCAAUCUCUGUGGAGGGACCCAAAGAAAAACCUUUCUACAAGGAAAUCAAUUUGUUGCAUAGUGAUAACUAGACAGGUGGGGCGCUAUACCACCGGAUAGCUCAAUUUUAUUUUAUUUUACGUUAAAAAAGAUGUUAAGAUAAUGCAAGCGUUUUUAAAAAAGCAGAAAUUUUUUUACACUCGUUUGGAAAAGAUUGAUAUAAAUAUUAUAAUUUUAAUUAAAAUAAAAAAUUAAGCUUAUAAUUCAUUAAAUAAAAUACCUAAUAAUAAUUAAAUUAAGCACAACAAAUAAAGUCUAAUUAAUAAAAUUCAACUAAAACUAUAAAUAAAUUAAACCAAAACAUAAGCUAAAGCUCAAUCUCUCAAUAGUUCGGACUAUUCUCUAUCUAUGAUUAUACAAGUAUGGAAAUAAUAUUUCAGUUCUAAUAUUCUCCUUAUCUUUUUUGUUACCAUUUUGAUAUCUAAAGUCGUUUGCAAGUGUAUAAUUUAAGAAAACAAAAGAUUUAUCAUUGGAUCUUAGUAUUAAGUUUCAAAAUGUCACAAUCCGUACAUGAUCAGUUACAAGAAAAACUAGAUCUUUUAGUGAAGUUAUUAUAUAUUUUGACAAAGAUUGUUAUUCAUUGAAACACUAUAGUAAUAUAUUUGCCUUUACACCAUAAAACUUUAAACUAGUAAUCGGGGGAGAUUUCAUCUUUUCAUUAGUAGAUCGAUCUUCUAUAUUUUUUUAACAGUCAAAUGACUAAAAAGCCAUAAAAACAAAAAAAAUGUUAAACUAUCUUUCAAGGGUUUAUUCAUAUUUUUUUAUUUUUUAAAAGGUAAUAAAAUGAUUAAUACACCUUUCUACAUAAAAAAAAACAUUAACUAACACCUAGUGGCUUUUUUGUAUUUUUAGUUUUUUUUAUUAUUAUAAUCAGGUUGGUUUAGGGGUAAUUUAAUCAUUAAAUAUUAAUUAAAAAAUGGUUGACGUGGCAUUUCACGUGUCAGUGUGUGGGUUUUUCUCACGUUAUUUGGGCAGUCGGUGCAAUGAUGUUUGGUUGCAAAACGAUUGCUUUAAGGGCAGUUUUCGAAUUGUCUUGGUGCCCCUUACAUUCUUGGUCGACGUGUAUAGCCAACAAGUUUCUGGUUUGUCAUCAAUAACCUUUUUUUUUUAUUUUCUUUUCUUUUUUUCUUCUCUCUCUCCCAUUUAAUUGUCAUGCCUGACCCUCCAAACUUUCAAAGCAAUCUUCAAUUUGUUUUUCUUUAGAUUUGGUCUAUUUUUUCAUUCCCAUUGAUUUAAUUUGAAUAUAUAGAAUUGCAAAUUUUUUUCCAAUUGCAUCCUUUUAAAUUUUUGUGAUUUCAUCCUCCAAUUGUUUCCUAUAAGAUAUGAUGCUUUUUUUUUAAUUGAUUUUUUUUUUGGUAAAUUUUUUAGAUUAAUAUUUUUUUUAUUUUAUUCUUCAAUAUUAAAUUUGUUGAAAAAUGAUCUUCUUGAUUGUGCCAAGGUCUAAGAUUUUAUGGGCUACAAGUUUAGGAGAUUAGCCCAGGUAUAAGAGAUUCACCCGAUUUUGCUUUUUUAUUUUACCUUUUUUUAAGCCAAUGUUUUUUUAGUUUAUCAUUUGACAUUUAUUUAAUUGGAGAUUAGACUCCAUUAUUUUUUUUAUUUGCUUUCUAUAUGAAUUUUCACUUGUUUUGAAAAUGACUCGGGUUAUCUCGAAUCUUUUUAUUUGUCGUUCUUUAUUAAAUUUAGCUUUCAUAUAUAAUAACAUUUUUAUUCAAUUAAAUUAAUUAAUUAAAUAUAAGUAUGAUAUGAUCACUUUAUAAUAUUUUAUUUGGUUUGUUUCUAGGUCGUUGUUGUUACAGCGCGUGCAACCUCUUUUGAUAUUGUCGUCUAAUCUUUUGUAAUGAUAUUAGAACCGUCUCAAUGAACUUUUCUGGUGGUAAAAUGAUGACCACGACAGAGAGACAAUGAGUCGCUAAUACGCUUUUCUUUCCUAUACUCAUGAAUAUUAUAUUGGUAGCUCAUUUUUAUACCUAAUUAUUGCCAAAAAAAAUUGCUUUAUUUAUUGUUGAUAUUUUUUUAAUUAUAUUAUUAAAUUAACUGAACUUGGUGAACCUAAUCAAAUAAAUGAUAAUAUUCUCAAAUGUUUAUUGAUUAUUUAAAAACAUUUGCGUCAUCUGAAUAUUUUUUUUGUCAAAUUAUUUUAUUUUAUUUUAUAUAUUUUUGUUGUAUUUUCUUAUUUAUGUUAUUUAAAUUAGUUGAAAAUCGAGAAGUCGAGAUAAUGACACGAGGCUUGUAUUUCUUUUAGAAACACUUACAUUGUCUUAAUAUAUGUUUUUAUAUUGAAAACAAAUUAGGUUGACCCGUUAGCAUACGGGGGUCAUCUUUCCAGUACAAAAUACAUGGAGUUUCUUAAUUUUGUCCUUGAUUGAAGCAGCAAGCUGCAGGAUUGUUCGUAUCUCGAAAUUCCCAAUAAAAGAAGGGCGACACCGCAAUUAGCAGUUAGUUUUCUCGCAACUCACGCAGUUCUUCAUCCAUGCUACACGCUAUUAUUGAGUGGAUAAUUUGACAGGCAAGACUUGGUGAAAAAGACUGAAGAAAGGAUGGAGAUGCCUACCACACAAACAUUAAAUGCUUUGAGGAAUUUUUGCAUUUGAAAAAAAAAUACAGUACUGCAUGUCGCGCAUUGUGGUCUGAGAACUGCUGAUUUUCUUCCAGUAAUUUCCCAAAUCUUUUUAUUGGAGCAUUAUAGCAAGGAACGAGUUAAUUUGGCAGAUCAAGCAUCCAUUCAGCCAACAAAAAGACAACUUGGUGGAUUUUUCUGUCCAAGAAUUUUCUUGUCAUACAUUAUGCUUGCCACUUUCGCGUUUGUGAUUUUUUUUUGAAAGAAGCUGAUAUUAUUAAGUAAUGCAAAAUUGUGCAAUGCAAUCAUUACACAGAGAAAAAGUUUGCUGAAUUAGCUAGCAAACCUAUAUAACAUAAACCCUACAAACUCAAUAAAAACCUUCCACCAUCUGUUUCCUGCAUAGGAGCCAAAAGAAUGCCCCAAUCAACAUAAUCUGCAUUGGAUUAAACAAAGUACCGAUAAAUUAUCUAUGAGGGUCAUAGCCAAGCCACAAAAUCAGAUAUUCUGUGCACUCCUUGUUUAGCGAGAUGAUCUGCCAUGUGAUUGCUUUCCCGGUAAGAAUGAGAGUAGGUGAUUGAAUCAAAACAUGAAGCUAGCCUCUGAGCUGAAGAGAAGAGUUUAUGAUGAAUCCAAGGCCUAUUAUAAGAAUUAUUCAUCCAGCUAAUGACAUUGGCAGAAUCAGAUUCGAUAAUAAUAUGUUUAUGAUGUAAGAAGCAGUUAGAGGCUGACAAUUCGAUAGCUUUGACUACUGCUCUCAGCUCAGCUACAUUAGAGUCUAAGAUCCCAAUCGGCAUAGAAAAAAUACCUAAAAGUAUUCCAUGAUGAUUCCGCAAAACACCACCUAUUCCGGAGGGGCCAGGUUUUCCGAUAGAGGAUCCAUCAACAUUCCAUUUGAAUCUAUUCGUCAUAGGGGGAGACCACAUAAUACCAAUCCUCAACUUUUGAGAAUUAGUCCACCGAACCAGACCUUCAGCAGAUCGAAGCAAAUCUGAGGAGGAGUAGGGAAAAUCCGGUUCUAUAGCCUUUAACCAUAAGCAAAGCCGAGUAACAAUAAGGAAGAACAAAGUAUCAUAAUCUGGGAUCUUCUGCUUAAAUAUUACAUCAUUGCGAAGAAGCCACAUAGACCAUGUCGCAGAAAAGAACAACAUCACCCAUACUUUUUUCUGAAAUUUGCCAUAAACCAAAGAGUCCCACUGAGAGAAGAGAUUUGCCAAGUUCCUUGGACAACACCAAGCUAAGCCCCACCAAUUGAUGAUUUUGGACCAAAUGAGCCAGUGCUUGUAGCAAUGAAUAAAAAGGUGGUCGACCAUUUCUUCCUCAGCCAAGCAGAUCGGACAGAUUGCAGCUGAGAUAUCCAGUAUGCCUCUUUUAACUAACAUGCUGCGGGUGUUGAUUUUGUUGAUGAUGGCCAUCCAGCAAAAAACCUCUACUUUAGGUGGGACGAGACCUCUCCAAAUCCCCUUAAAGGAGAAGACAGUGUUCAAUGGAGAACUAGGAGAUAAAAGCCCACAUAGAGAUUUAACCGAGUAUCUUCCUGUGUUAUUGGCUUUCCAGACAAGCCGAUCCUCUGCUUCUUUGUCCAGAUGCAUUCUUGACAGAAUAGCGUACAUUUGAGUAAGAAGUCCAGUAUUCCGGCCUCUCAAAUCUCUGAUCCAGGAGAAAACCCAGCACCAUGCAUGACCAUCCCACAUUCCCAUCUUUUCUAGGCUGGCGUCUUUAUCGUUGGACAACUGAAAUAGAGUAGGGAACUUCUCUGCCAAUCUGCCAUUGCCUAUCCAGUCAUCAAGCCAAAACUUAAUCCAUUUUCCAUUGCCAACUAGCAUCACAGUGUUAUUAGUCACAAUAUUCCGCAAUCUAGAAUCUUUGCCACAGUAAUUAACAAGCCGUAAUCCAUUUGCCACAGUAAUCCAUUUUCACGUUUGUGAUUGUUAAAGAAUACAGGGAGAAAUUUCUUGUAAUUUCAAGGAGGGUAUUUCAAUUAUUGAUCUUGCUGCAGGCGUGUCAUUCUUCGUCCACAUGACCACUCAUGCAGUGCAAGCGUGCAACUAUUUUAGAUUGCGAAGCUGUGGAAGGCCAUCGGAAUUGGAUGAACAAGCAGCAUGGAGGAUUUAUAUGAGAUGGUGAAUGUUGAUAGCCCAUAAGGAUUGGCAGAGUACACAAAACAGAAAUAUUAAUUGCUAAAACUAUGGUUCAAUCUUCAAAUGAAGGUGCUGACUGCUGAUAAUAGUCUUACAGUUAUCAAAAUUUGAAUUGCUUUCCUUCCCAACUUUAUAGCUCAAGGUACUAAAACUUCCUGCAGACCAGGCCUUAUCGAUUUUUUCUGAUUUAUUCCAGAACUACCCAGGUAUGGAUGGACCUCAAAUUGUGUAUUAGAUAUGAAAAGUGAGGACAGUGCUUCAGUUCAUCGUCCCUGCUUACUAAUACAAAACUGGAGAUACAUUUUGCCUAUAUUGUGUUUUUUGCAUAAUGGAUGAUCAACGGUGAUUCUCUGGUUGGUGAUGGAGCUCGUAUUAACAUACCUGCGCUCCUGAUAGUAUGGAUGUGUAUGCUCCUGCACUACAAUUUCUGCCACUCUGAAAGAUUACUGAGAGUAUACAUGGGAUUAUAUCACUUUGAAAGGUCCUCGAGCUUAGUCAUUGUACUGUAGUUACUUUCAAGGGCCCAGUAAUGGAAGAGAGCAUUGCGCACAAAAACAUCCACAAGAGAGUGGAUAUGACCUUAUGGAGUAGCUGGGCUUGGGUUCGUAAAGUUCAUGGCCAUUCUGUUUCCAAGUCAUAUACAGUACUGUUUUAGGGUCCAGACAUAGUGGUUUCAUGACCAUGUCUACGUACCAAUGCUGGUGGGUACUGGGUAGGUAGGUGGGGGGAAGGUAUUUACUGAUUAUUAGGAUCUGAUGCGUUUAUGAGCCUAAAGUCCUUGAAGCGAAUUUCUACUAACAAUCACUGAACUAGCUUCCUUUGUGCGUAAGAAAAGAGAAAGGACCGCCUUCCAAUUAUCAGAUGCCUAUAAUUUUACUGUUCAUCUGUUGAAAAAGACACAGAUUGAUCCAAAAGCAAAUCUUGAUAAUGACAUUGAUGGAAUGAUAAAGUUUAGUGUAGAGUUUGAUAAAGGUAGGGAAAUGCUUUUUAACUUUCCUUUUCUUUUUAACGUCUCUCAAUUUUUGCAUAAAAGAUAAUAAAGGAACUUCGCAGAUAGUAAGCCUCUUAUUGGUCCUUUGUGGCAAGAAAGAAACGAAGGAAGCAGCAUUGAAGAUGAAAAAUACUUUAAACAAUAAAUACUAUCACAUUCUUAAAUACAUUUAAUAACUUUAAAUUGGGAACAACUGUCGGUCUUGCUGAUGUAAAAUUAUACUGAACUGAUCACUUCUUCUAGCCCUCCCAUUUCGAGAGUAGAGAGUAAGGCUAGAAGAUUCUGUUUGAAGUCUGUAUUUAGGAUUCAAAUCGCCAACAUACCGACACGACGCUAAUUGGUUAAAUUUAGAACGAGUCUUCGGCAUCUUAAUUAUGCAAACAGCAUGUAGUCUUUUGAGAGAAAUACACAAUAUUGACUAGCUCAGGCCAUAGAGUUUUACAAGACAUUUUUGGUACAAUGCGUCAUGGUCUCAUGCAAGGAAGAUGCGAUGAGUAUUUGGAACUUAAAGGUCAUGAAUUAUGACAGUGGUUGUUUAAGAAUUUGAAUUUGAUCCGUGAGGAGAUCUUGGAGGGGAAGACAAGUAUGGUUUCGGCGGGAUUGGCAAGGACUCAAGGCUUCCUUGCAACAUUUCUACCACUCUAGACAUUGGUGGGCGAUUUGAGGGGUCGGUUUGUAUGCACCACAAGCUUGCCAAAAUCAUUUUUCUUGCAUUUUGUUCCUCCACUUCAUUGCCAGCCCCUCGAAGUUCAAGUUCUUCACCUAUUUCAAGACGCUUGUAUAUCCAAUGUGGAAAAUAGAUCUCACUGGUAUUAUCAACACCGACGCGAAAGUUUUUUCUCCCUCCAAUCAUUUCUAACACUAGCAUCCCAUAGCUAUAAACAUCAGAUUUGUGAGAGACCCCUCCAAAAUUUCUACAAAAUACUUCGGGGGCAAUGUAUCCAGCAGUUCCUCUUGCACCCAACAUCGAUACGGUACUCUCUUUACUGGGGCAUAUUUUAGCCAGGCCGAAAUCAGAAAUUUUAGGACAGAAGUUUUCAUCUAGAAGAAUAUUAUGAGGCUUUAUGUCAAAAUGUAAAAUCCUCGUGUUGCAACCUCUGUGCAAGUAUUCUAAUCCUCGAGCAAUGCCAACUGCAAUUUGGUAUAAUGUUUCCCACCCCAAUUUGGGAUCUGCCUUCGGGAGAUUUUCUUCAUAUAUGUGCUUGUCAAGUGACCCAUUAGACAUGAACUCAUAGAUUAGAGCUCGUUUAGGACCCUCAAAACAGAACCCCAGAAGAGUAACAAUGUUGACGUGGGAAGUCAUGCCGAUGCUGGAAACUUCAUUUACAAAUUCUUCUCCAUUACGAUUUGAUUUCUUCAGGACUUUAACAGCAACAAGACGGCCAUCAAGUAAAUUGCCUUUGAAAACACUUCCAUAGCCUCCUUGGCCUAGUUUCUCUUUGAAGUUUUUGGUCAUUUUCUUAAGUUCUGAAUAACUGUAUCUUUGUGGUGCCAAGGUUCCAUAGUUCCUCAGAAAAGCUUCUAUACUUUGACUUCCUCUGGUUUUUCUCCGACAGGAAAGGAAGUGAAUGGAUGAGUACUUUCUGAUGAUGACGCAGCAGAUUGUAAUCAGUAGAACUCCAAUGCCGACAGCUGUAGUAAAAAAAGGAGUUGAGGAAAAUAAGGCAGUCUAAGAAUGAGUCAUUUAAACUAUUUUUGAAGAAUGUUUCUUCCUCUAGCAGUGAAGGAAAGUUUAGUAAAUCACGCCAUCUAUGGAAAUGUGCUGCUAGACAUUCGAGGAGGUAAAUUACCUAGUCCGAGUCCGAGCCCGAGCUUCAAUCCCAAUUUUCUUUCUCUGCAACACAAGCAAAAAGGAAAUAUGGCAUUAGUGCAAAACCUAAAAGUUAAAACAAAGAAUUUAUGCAUGCUUUGCCAAAUCGAAUUCUCCAAUAUUUAGCAUGCACAAAAAUCAGCAAAAAAAAAUAUCAGAGCAAGGAGGACCUGCUUAUGAGUAAUAUGGGAUUUUGUGGCAAGCUAAAUUCUAUUCUCACGACCCAUAAUUGUAAACCAAACCCAGUAAGCUAAAAUCAAUUGCAUAGAAGACAGGAAUUGAGUGGAAUACCAGAUAUAAAGAAUAGUAGGUCUAGUAAAAUGUCUUAAGGUCCUCAGGACUAUAUUGGGUCGUAGCAUACAAAUACAAAAAACUUACAUGUAUUUAUCUCUCCCUAUUUUUGCUGUGUCCAUGCAUAUCAUACAUACCUUCAAUUGAAUGGAUGCAUUCGGGCUUUCCUUCGAUGAUUUGACAUUCACCUCUUUGCACAUAACAACGAUAACAAAAGGGCGUUACUAACACUUCAAUAGAGAAGGUAGCUGUUAACAGCCUGAAUAUGUCACUAUAACUCUCGGUUUUAUUCACUGGGAGGACUAGGUAGACUGGUGUUGCGAGUAUAAUAGAUGCUGAAGUUUUUGCAUCCUUUAUAGUUAAAUUCAAGAUGCUGAGGAAAAUUGACACUGGGGUCAGUACAUUUGAAUAAAGUUAGGUUGGAGAAUUCUUGAAUAGAUAAGUAUGGGAGACUGGCUGGAAGACUCAAAUUGUUGAAGGAAUCGCAUGAAUUGGAAU
rnacentral:lncRNA from 1 species